rnacentral:rRNA from 1 species
CCUACGGGAGGCAGCAGUGAGGAAUAUUGCUCAAUGGACGAGAGUCUGAACCAGCCAAGUAGCGUGAAGGAUGACUGCCCUAUGGGUUGUAAACUUCUUUUAUAUGGGAAUAAAAUGUUCCACGUGUGGGAUUUUGUAUGUACCAUAUGAAUAAGGAUCGGCUAACUCCGUGCCAGCAGCCGCGGUAAUACGGAGGAUCCGAGCGUUAUCCGGAUUUAUUGGGUUUAAAGGGAGCGUAGGUGGAGUGUUAAGUCAGUUGUGAAAGUUUGCGGCUCAACCGUAAAAUUGCAGUUGAAACUGGCAGUCUUGAGUACAGUAGAGGUGGGCGGAAUUCGUGGUGUAGCGGUGAAAUGCUUAGAUAUCACGAAGAACUCCGAUUGCGAAGGCAGCUCACUGGACUGCAACUGACACUGAGGCUCGAAAGUGUGGGGAGCAAACAGGAUUAGAUACCCCUGUAGUC